UAGGGGUGAAAGGCCAAUCAAACCCGGAGAUAUCUCGUUCUCCCCGAAAUAGCUUUAGGGCUAGCGUCGCGCGUUAACCCCGGGAGGUAGAGCACCGGAUCGAUGAGGGGGCUUCGCCGCCUACCGAUUCGAACCGAACUCCGAAUGCCCGAGGGUCUAGAGCGCGGCAGUCAGAACAUGUGGGCUAAGCUGUGUGUUCGAGAGGGAAACAGCCCAGACCGCCCGCUAAGGUCCCAAAUUCAGAGCCGAGUGGCAAAGGAUGUGCGUCCGCGCAGACAACCAGGAGGUUGGCUUAGAAGCAGCCACCCCUUCAAAGAGUGCGUAACAGCUCACUGGUCGAGUGGACAUGCGCCGACAAUACACGGGGCUAAGCUCUGAACCGAAGCGGCGGGAUGAUUCAAAUCAUCGGUAGGGGAGCGUCCCAGCGGGGGCGAAGCGGGAGGGGAACCGACCGUGGACCUUCUGGGAGCGAGAAUGCUGGCAUGAGUAGCGAGAGACGAGAGGGUAACUCGUCCGCCGUAAACCCGAGGUUUCCUGGGCAAGGCUAAUCCUCCCAGGGUCAGUCGGGGGCUAAGGCGAGGCCGGAAGGCGUAGUCGAAGCGCAGCAGGCAGACAUUCCUGCACCGCGAUGGAACCGUCACGACCGACGGGGCGACGGAUUGGGGUGGCUCGGCGGGGUUCUGGACGUCCCCGUGAUGGAGCGCGGCCCGGAGACCAGGCAAAUCCGGUCUCCACGAGGGCGAGGCUCCGGACGAAGCGAUCGAGCGAAGCGAGUGAGCCCGAGGUCCCUAGAAAAACCCCUAGGCAGGCGCCAUCGCGCCCGUACCGCAAACCGACACAGGUGGGUGGGUAGAACAUACCGAGGCGAUCGGGUCAACCAUGGUUAAGGAACUCGGCACAAUGGCCCCGUAACUUCGGGAGAAGGGGUGCCCCCGCGUACGUGAACCGGCUCGCCCGGGGAGCGGAGGGGGGCCGCAGUGAAGAGGCCCAAGCGACUGUUUACCAAAAACACAGGACUCUGCAUAAGCCGCGAGGCGACGUAUAGGGUCUGACGCCUGCCCGGUGCCGGAAGGUCACGCGGAGGAGUUAGCGCAUCGCGCGAAGCCCCGAAGCCAAGCCCCGGUAAACGGCGGCCGUAACUAUAACGGUCCUAAGGUAGCGAAAUUCCUUGUCGGGUAAGUUCCGACCUGCACGAAAGGCGCAACGACUUGGGCGCUGUCUCGACCAUGGACCCGGUGAAAUUGCACUGGUCGUGAAGAUGCGACUUACCCGCGGAAGGACGGAAAGACCCCGUGAACCUUCACUGCAGCUUGGCAUUGGCCGCUGGUCCGGCGCGUAGAGGAUAGGCGGGAGGCAUCGAUGCGGGGGCGCCAGCCCCCGCGGAGCCGCCCUUGGAAUACCGCCCUCGCCGCACCGGCGUCCUAACCCCGUCCCGUGGAGCCGGGCGGGGGACCGUGCCAGGUGGGCAGUUUGACUGGGGCGGUCGCCUCCUAAAAGGUAACGGAGGCGCGCGAAGGUCCGCUCGGGACGGUCGGCAACCGUCCUUUUGAGUGCAAGAGCGUAAGCGGGCUUGACUGCGAGGCCCACAAGCCGAGCAGGUGCGAAAGCAGGCUCUAGUGAUCCGGCGGCCCCGAGUGGGUGGGCCGUCGCUCAACGGAUAAAAGGUACUCCGGGGAUAACAGGCUGAUCUUGCCCAAGAGUCCACAUCGACGGCAAGGUUUGGCACCUCGAUGUCGGCUCAUCGCAUCCUGGGGCUGGAGCAGGUCCCAAGGGUACGGCUGUUCGCCGUUUAAAGCGGUACGCGAGCUGGGUUCAGAACGUCGUGAGACAGUUCGGUCCCUAUCCUCCGCGGGCGCAGGAGAAUCGAGGGAGGCUGCCCCUAGUACGAGAGGACCGGGGUGGACGGACCUCCGGUGAACCGGUUGUCGACCAACGGCAUGGCCGGGUAGCCGCGUCCGGCGCGGAUAACCGCUGAAGGCAUCUAAGCGGGAAGCCGUUCCCGAGAUCAGUUCUCCUUCUGGUAAGGGCCCAGGUAGAACACCUGGUCGAUAGGCCGCAGGUGCAAGGUCGGCGACGGCCUCAGCCGAGCGGCACUAAUCGCCCGAGCUCUUACCCG
rnacentral:rRNA from 1 species